rnacentral:rRNA from 1 species
UACGUAGGGUGCGAGCGUUGUCCGGAAUUAUUGGGCGUAAAGGGCUCGUAGGCGGUUUGUCGCGUCGGGCGUGAAAACUCAGGGCUUAACCCUGAGCCUGCUUCCGAUACGGGCAGACUAGAGGUAUGCAGGGGAGAAUGGAAUUCCUGGUGUAGCGGUGAAAUGCGCAGAUAUCAGGAGGAACACCGGUUGCGAAGGCGGUUCUCUGGGCAUUACCUGACGCUGAGGAGCGAAAGUGUGGGGAGCGAACAGG